rnacentral:lncRNA from 1 species
CCCACUCUCACAGCCCUGUAGGGUGCCACGUGGGCUGCGGGCUGGGGCUGUAGGGGCUCCCGCAGCGACCCACGCCGCCCUCUUGCUCAGGGCCCCAGGAGGCGAGUCUGAGUGGAACCUGGCUGGGGUAGGCUGAAAGGUGACUUCGACGCUCUUCUGAGGCCUCAGACGUGUGUGAUGACUGCCCUGUAGAAUCAGUGCUGUGACCCCGAGUAACAACGCGCGCUUGAGUUGGUAUAAACUCCUGAAGAGUGUAGUCCUGCAAUUUACAAGAAAAAGUUAAGUGUAAAAUAGCCUCAGGCAUGUCCUUCAGGAGGGAUUCCAGAGGCAUUGUUAUAGACGAUGACAGCUCUGUGUGUGUUAUUGCCACUGAAGACCUUCCAUGGGACGCGAUGUGGAGCUGGAAGUCAGUGAUAUUGAUGAUCCUGACACAGUCCUAGGAUAAGGCCCAUGCUAUAUGAGCUUGACUUCUGGAAGGCUGGAGACUGAGUAAAUUCAGGAGUUAAGUUCAGUCACCCAGGCACCAUGGACACCAGCAUUCAGACGAGAUUACCUGUUUGGCACUACUUUGCACAUGCUGGCACACACCAUGGUGGGAAGAAUUAAGUGCUGUUGCCAUGCAAUUCUAAUGGAAGGGGAAAACUGGAAGCUUGUGCCUCGUCUCUCCUGGACUUUGUCCAGUGCCUUCUCCCAUUGUUCAUUGUUGCCUGCAUCCUUCGCCUUGAGUUUGAGUAUGGCAGCUCUUCUGGAUCCCAGGAGUCCUUCCAGCAAAUCAUUGAGCCUGAGUGGUCCUGGAGACCAGUGGCACACCUUUGUUCAAGAUAAUGGUUCACUUCUCAAUCAAUAAAAAUGUACUUGUAGACGCAUUCAUUGCUUUUCACUGGUGGGAACAAAACUGUUUGAAACGGUACUAUUUUGUUUACUAAUCACUAGGCUCUAAUUCUUCUGUUGUAUUAACUGUUGCUUUGUAUUGGCUUAGGGUUUAUCAAGUUUAUCAACGCCAGCUCAUUAACAGUUGGGUGUGAUGGCUCAUGCCUGUAAUCCACUUUGGGAGGCUGAGGUGGGAAGAUCCCCUGAGCCCAGUAGUUCCAGACCAGCAUGGGCAACAUAGAGAGACCCUGUCUCCACAAAAAAAUAAAGUUAACCAGGUAUGGUGGCACACACCUGUGGUCCCAGUUAUUUGGGAGGCUGAGGUGGGAGGAUUGCUUAAGUCCAGGAGGUCAAGGCUGCAGUUAGCUGUGAUUGCACCAUGGCGCUCCAUCCUGGGUGACAGAGCGAGACCCUGUCUCAAACGAAAAAACAAAACCACACACACACAAAACAACCCAGAAUGUUCAGCAUUCUAUUAGACAACUUUCCUGUGGUCUUCAAAAAGCCAAACUCAUGAAAAAAAAAAAACAGUAGAGAUAUUGUUCUAAAUGAGUUGGCAAAUGUUCUCUAGAAAGGUCAUGAUAUUAUAUACAGUAGGUUUUGUGACCAUUGCAAAUGGUCUCAUUGCAAUGACAUCUCUGACGUGGUAGUAAGAAGAAAACAUGUAAACAAGUGAAUGUGGUAGUGUUGCAAUAAAACUACAAAAUCCACUGGCAGGUUGCAAUUAGCCUGUAGGCCAUAGUUUUCCAGCCACUAUUCUAAAUUAAAAGUGAGUAACGCUUUAUCAUAAAGGCAUAAACUAGAGCAAAUACCAGUUUGAAAAUGACCAAAAAGAUAUAACUUGGAUAAAUUUUCAAAAUUUGAAUACAGG